UUUGGCAUCAUGUUUUUGUCUAUGUCAAGAAGGCUAAUUCUGCUGGAAAUUGAGUUUAAUAAACAUUGGGUCGACAUAUAUUUAUUUUGACAUAUAGGUCACAUAGUAGAAUUCAUGUGUGCAUAUCUUUUAAAGCAACAGUUGAGAUCUGUAUUAUUUCAAAGCGUGUGCAAGAAUACAAAUAUUUCUAUUUAAAGAUUUUUCUGCCAUCUUUGCACUGGUGCGUUUACGAAUGGAUUGUGACAAUUUGUCCUUUUCAAGUUUCAUUUCUUCAAGAAUUUAUUUUAAGACGGUUCCAUAUAGGCUAACAUGUCUUCCUGAGUAAAAUGUUUCUUUUUCCAAAAGUUUUUUUUUCUGUCAAUUUUGAUGACUGU
rnacentral:lncRNA from 1 species